GUUCGCAAUGCUGAAUUUCCUAACACAAGGCUCUUACAUCACAAUUCCCAGGUAUAUUUCAGGUUUGCAAUGCUGACUCUCCCAACACAAGGCUCUAAGGUCACAAUUCCCAUGUAGAUUUCAGGUUUGCAAUGCUGAGUUUAAUGACACAAGGGUCUUAGGUCACAAUUCCCAGGUAUAUUUCAGGUUUGCAAUGCUGAGUUUAAUGACACAAGAGUCUUAGGUCACAAUUCCCAGGUAUAUUUCAGGUUUGCAAUGCUGAGUUUAAUGACACAAGGGUCUUAGGUCACAAUUCCCAGGUAUAUUUCAGGUUUGCAAUGCUGAGUUUAACGACACAAGGCUCUUAGAUCACAAUUCCCAGGUAUAUUUCAGGUUUGCAAUGCUGAGUUUAACGACACAAGGCUCUUAGAUCACAAUUCCCAGGUAUAUUUCAGGUUUGCAAUGCUGAGUUUCCUGACACAAGGCUCUUACAUCACAAUUCCCAGGUAUAUUUCAGGUUUGCAAUGCUGACUCUCCCAACACAAGGCUCUUAGGUCACAAUUCCCAGGUAUAUUUCAGGUUUGCAAUGCUGAGUUUCCUGACACAAGGCUCUUACAUCACAAUUCCCAGGUGUAUUUCAGGCUUGCAAUGCUUAGUUUAAUUACACAAGGCUCUUCCAUCGCAAUUCCCAGGUAUAUUUCAGGUUUGCAAUGCUGAGUUUAAUGACACAAGGCUCUUACAUCACAAUUCCCAGGUAUAUUUCAGGUUUGCAAUGCUGACUCUCCCGACACAAGGCUCUAAGGUCACAAUUCCCAGGUAUAUUUCAGGUUUGCAAUGCUGAAGGCUCUUACAUCACAAUUCCCAGGUAUAUUUCAGGUAUUCACUAUUAAAUAACAACAUAUCAGUACAUAACACAACCCUCAAAUUAAUACUCAAUAAGCUAAGGAAGUGAGGUUAGUCAGCACCCACAAGCUACUAUUCAUCAUUAUUUGUUAUUUUUGUAUAUGUUACUAGGUAUAUAUAUGGCAGGCUUCAGGCGGGCAGGCAGACAGACAAGCAUUAGUACUCAUGCAAAAUAUACAGAGUUAGGGAAGAGAAGAUGCAGAAGAAGGUGUUGUCUCUCUCUCUCUCUCUCUCUCUCUCUCUCUCUCUCUCUCUCUCUCUCUCUCUCUCUCUCUCUCUUGUCCUGAAAUAUCUUGCUGUUUGCUGAUUGAUUGUGUGUGUGUGUGUGUGUGUGUGUGUGUGUGUGUGUGUGUUUUCAAGGCAGUGGUUGUCAUGGUGAGAGAAAAGCUAUUGUAGUGGUUGCACUCUCUCUCUCUCUCUCUCUCUCUCUCUCUCUCUCUCUCUCUCUCUCAUUACUUACCUCCCGGCAUUUUUGUUCACAUAGAAAAAAUAUUUAUUAUGGCAUACACGGUGCUGCUUUAAACACACACACACACACACACACACACACACACACACACACACACCCACACACACACACACAUGCAUAUAACCUUCCCAUAUUGUGUGUAUUUGUAGUGUAUCAAAGUGCAAAAAAAAAUAUAUAUAUACCUUGAAA